rnacentral:rRNA from 1 species
UAGGGAAUCUUCCGCAAUGGGCGAAAGCCUGACGGAGCAACGCCGCGUGAGUGAAGAAGGAUUUCGGUUCGUAAAGCUCUGUUGUUAGGGAAGAAUGAUUGUAUAGUAACUAUAUACAGUAGAGACGGUACCUAACCAGAAAGCCACGGCUAACUACGUGCCAGCAGCCGCGGUAAUACGUAGGUGGCAAGCGUUGUCCGGAAUUAUUGGGCGUAAAGCGCGCGCAGGUGGUUUAAUAAGUCUGAUGUGAAAGCCCACGGCUCAACCGUGGAGGGUCAUUGGAAACUGUUAAACUUGAGUGCAGGAGAGAAAAGUGGAAUUCCUAGUGUAGCGAUGAAAUGCGUAGGGAUUAGGAGGAACACCAGUGGCGAAGGCGGCUUUUUGGCCUGUAACUGACACUGAGGCGCGAAAGCGUGGGGAGCAAACAGGAUUAGAUACCCUGGUAGUCCACGCCGUAAACGAUGAGUGCUAAGUGUUGGUCUCAUAAGAGAUCAGUGCUGCAGCUAACGCAUUAAGCACUCCGCCUGGGGAGUACGACCGCAAGGUUG